ACAAACUUGGUCAUUUAGAGGAAGUAAAAGUCGUAACAAGGUUUCCGUAGGUGAACCUGCGGAAGGAUCAUUAAUGAAAUGAAGGACGCUCUCUAUAGAGGUCCGACAAUUCAUUUUCUUACACUGUGCACCAUACUAUUUUAUACAUAUUUUUAUACUCGAAAAGUUCAAGUAUGAUAAGUCUCUUAAAUGAGCAUAAUUAAAUAAAACUUUCGGCAACGGAUCUCUUGGCUCCCGCAUCGAUGAAGAACGCAGC
rnacentral:misc_RNA from 1 species